rnacentral:rRNA from 1 species
GACGAACGCUGGCGGCGUGCUUAACACAUGCAAGUCGAACGGAGAGGCCCUGCUUUUGUGGGGUGCUCGAGUGGCGAACGGGUGAGUAACACGUGAGUAACCUGCCCUUGACUUUGGGAUAACUUCAGGAAACUGGGGCUAAUACCGGAUAGGAGCUCCUGCUGCAUGGUGGGGGUUGGAAAGUUUCGGCGGUUGGGGAUGGACUCGCGGCUUAUCAGCUUGUUGGUGGGGUAGUGGCUUACCAAGGCUUUGACGGGUAGCCGGCCUGAGAGGGUGACCGGGCACACGGGAACUGAGAAGGGGGCGAGAUUCCGACGGGAGGCAGCAGUAGGGAAGCUGCGGCAAUGGGCGAAAGCCUGACGGAGCAACGCGGCGUGAGUGAUGAAGGUCUUCGGAUAGGAAAAAUCUGUUAUGAGGGAAGAACAAAUGUGUAAGUAACUAUGCACGUCGUGACGGUAGAUAAUAAGAAAGCAAAGGCUAACUACGUG